CCGAUUGACUAAGGUUUCCAGAGGAAGGCUCGUCCGCUCUGGGUUAGUCGGGUCCUAAGCUGAGGCCGACAGGCGUAGGCGAUGGAUAACAGGUUGAUAUUCCUGUACCACCUAUAAUCGUUUUAAUCGAUGGGGGGACGCAGUAGAAUAGGCGAAGCGUGCGAUUGGAUUGCACGUCUAAGCAGUAAGGCUGAGUAUUAGGCAAAUCCGGUACUCGUUAAGGCUGAGCUGUGAUGGGGAGAAGACAUUGUGUCUUCGAGUCGUUGAUUUCACACUGCCGAGAAAAGCCUCUA
rnacentral:rRNA from 1 species